rnacentral:rRNA from 1 species
GAUGAACGCUGGCGGCGUGCCUAACACAUGCAAGUCGAGCGGUAUAUACUGGAACGAAACUUCGGUCUAGAGAAGGUAUAGAGAGCGGCGGACGGGUGAGUAACGCGUAGGCAACCUGCCCCAUACAGAGGGAUAGCCCUCGGGAAACCGGGAUUAAAACCUCAUAAUACGAGAAGUUCACAUGUUCUUCUCGUCAAAGAUUUAUCGGUAUGGGAUGGCCGUGCGUCUGAUUAGCUAGUUGGUGAGGUAACGGCGUCACCAACGGCAACGAUCACGUAGCCGACCUGAGAGGGUAAUCGGCCACAUUGGAACUGAGACACGGUCCAAACUCCUACGGGUGGCAG